GUCAAGCAAAGUGGGGGCGGGGCCGGGGCCGGGGCCGGGGCCGAGGCCGGGUGUAAGAUGGAAUAAAGCAGUAGUGAAAUCAUCUUGGGGAGCUGGGAGGAGUGUCAAACUUUCAGCAAUUGAGUCCCGAGAAGCAAUGCUCAGAAAUUAUGGAGGUGAUUCUGGCAGGUUCCAGCUGUUCUUGUUUUCCCUACCUUAGAGAAAGAGAGAGAGAUGGGAAGCUGGGGGAUUUCCAUUAAGGAGAAACCAGAGACGAUCAAAGGAGGAGGAGGGUGGUGCUGCCCUUUAAGAAAGCCGGCCAGAGCUCUGGAACUGGGACUCUUAAGAAACUUCUGUAAUGUGCCAAGUAAAGUGAGAAAGCUCUUCGUGGGGUCAAAAGAGAAGCUACCAGAGGAGGCCCCACGGAAGACUUGGCAGAAGAGAGUGGGAAAGAGUUUCACAUGGAUGGAUCAGAGCCUCAGCCUCCAUCUUUCCACAGCGUUUAAGAUUUUGCCUCAUAUGCAUGCAUACUUGACAAAGACUUUACCACUAGAGAUAAUAGAGAAGCCAGAGAGAGUGAGGAGAAACUACCAGAUAAAUCAUUAUGAAGCAAAUGUUCUCCUUUCUCAAUAACAUGGACUCAAUAGCUGAAUGUGGCUCAGACAAAGCAUCUGUCUCUCCGUCUUUCAAACUUAAAAAGAAAAUCAUCAAGACCUCAGUAGAGAAAUGAGUAAUGCACGGGAUUUCAUGGAAGAGGAAACAGGACUAGUAAAUAAACACAUGAAGACUGAAGUCCAUCCUAACUAGAAAUAAAAUGAAAAGCACAUUUGAGGUGCACUUUUCUUUCUUUUUUUUAACUAAACUUGCAAGAUUUUAUUAAGUGGUAACACUCAGUUCUGGGAACAUCUUAAAAUUGGUAUCCUCCCACAAGGAUGGUGACACUUUAAAUUUGGACAAGUCUUUGG
ensembl:lncRNA